GUGACCUCAACACUUGCGGUUGCAUCCAAAUGUGGAGCUUUUCUGCCAGAGGACCAAGAAAAAGCACACAGACUGGAAGAGAGCCGUGGAAGCCAAGGCACCAUAGCAUACCUGAGCUCUGCAGACCAGGGAUAGGACUUCCACUGAAGGAAGAUGAGGACGUGGCAAUUCACCAUUGGGAGUGGGGAGAAGUGGUGAGAUUAGGAGUCUCAUCUUCUCAUCGGGAGAUCUGUUUAAGAUCUUAGCAAUGCUGGACCGUGGAACCCACGCCACUCAGUUCUGCUGCCUCUUUAUCAAAUGCUAUUUCGACAUCAAGACAAAGAACUGGUCCUACAGACAGGUGCUUUAGGACACUUCUGAGACACCAGCACUCUAUUUGGAGCGGUGGGGUCAGACUUGCACUAUCUUACGGAUUUGGAUAAAGCCAUUGAGUGUCUGCACCUUGCAUCUCUCUCUUCUCCCUCUCUCGCUUGUCUCAGGGCCUGAUUUUGGCUAUUUCUCAGCUACAUUUCAUAAACUUCCACUGCUCAUUUGAUGAGGGCAUCUAGUAUUUGGUAGUGACUUCACCCUACUCACCUCUCGUCUCAUGGAAUGAAUCUUAAACUUGCUUCUUUGACCCAUGCCCUCCAGCCUUCCUGGUUGCCUGUUUCAUCUUGCUCAACACUACUCACCACACUGUAUAUCUCCAGAACAGAAAUGCCCUGUCCCAGCCUUUGCCCACCCUGGAUUUCUAGAGUCAAAGUCUUCCGUGCCAGUCAUUCUAACAGUUAUAGCAGAACCCGCCUUCUGGUCACUUGGCUGUCAUUUUACUGAACAAUAGUAGCCUUUUUGUCUAUGGAAUUAUGGCUGGUAGAUGGUCAGUGGCAAAUUUAAAAAUCAAAUCACAAUAGAGACUCAUAA
rnacentral:lncRNA from 1 species